AUCUAAAUAGCUUAUAUUAUUUAAAGUUUAAUAUUGAAGAUAUUAAGAAAAUUAUUAAUUUUUAGAUA
rnacentral:tRNA from 1 species